rnacentral:rRNA from 1 species
UACGUAGGGUGCGAGCGUUAAUCGGAAUUACUGGGCGUAAAGCGUGCGCAGGCGGCUUCGCAAGUCAGGCGUGAAAUCCCCGGGCUUAACCUGGGAAUGGCGUCUGAAACUACGGAGCUGGAGUGCGGCAGAGGGGGGUGGAAUUCCACGUGUAGCAGUGAAAUGCGUAGAUAUGUGGAGGAACACCGAUGGCGAAGGCAGCCCCCUGGGCCAGCACUGACGCUCAUGCACGAAAGCGUGGGGAGCAAACAGG